rnacentral:rRNA from 1 species
CGAAUGCUGGCGGCGUGCCUAAUACAUGCAAGUCGAGCGGACAGAUGGGAGCUUGCUCCCUGAUGUUAGCGGCGGACGGGUGAGUAACACGUGGGUAACCUGCCUGUAAGACUGGGAUAACUCCGGGAAACCAGGGCUAAUACCGGAUGGUUGUUUGAACCGCAUGGUUCAAACAUAAAAGGUGGCUUCGGCUACCACUUACAGAUGGACCCGCGGCGCAUUAGCUAGUUGGUGAGGUAACGGCUCACCAAGGCAACGAUGCGUAGCCGACCUGAGAGGGUGAUCGGCCACACUGGGACUGAGACACGGCCCAGACUCCUACGGGAGGCAGCAGUAGGGAAUCUUCCGCAAUGGACGAAAGUCUGACGGAGCAACGCCGCGUGAGUGAUGAAGGUUUUCGGAUCGUAAAGCUCUGUUGUUAGGGAAGAAUAAGUACCGUUCGAAUAGGGCGGUACCUUGACGGUACCUAACCAGAAAGCCACGGCUAACUACGUGCCAGCCGCCGCGGUAAGAC